AACGAACGCUGGCGGCAGGCUUAACACAUGCAAGUCGAACGCACCGCAAGGUGAGUGGCAGACGGGUGAGUAACACGUGGGGAUCUACCCAAUGGUACGGAAUAGCUUCGGGAAACUGGAAUUAAUACCGUAUGAGCCCGCAAGGGGAAAGAUUUAUCGCCAUUGGAUGAACCCGCGUCGGAUUAGCUAGUUGGUGUGGUAAAGGCGCACCAAGGCGACGAUCCGUAGCUGGUCUGAGAGGAUGAUCAGCCACACUGGGACUGAGACACGGCCCAGACUCCUACGGGAGGCAGCAGUGGGGAAUAUUGGACAAUGGGCGCAAGCCUGAUCCAGCCAUGCCGCGUGAGUGAUGAAGGCCUUAGGGUUGUAAAGCUCUUUCGCCGACGAAGAUAAUGACGGUAGUCGGAGAAGAAGCCCCGGCUAACUUCGUGCCAGCCGCCGCGGUAACAC
rnacentral:rRNA from 1 species